CCUACGGGGGGCAGCAGUGAGGAAUAUUGGUCAAUGGACGAGAGUCUGAACCAGCCAAGUAGCGUGAAGGAUGACUGCCCUAUGGGUUGUAAACUUCUUUUAUAUGGGAAUAAAAUGUUCCACGUGUGGGAUUUUGUAUGUACCAUAUGUAUAAGGAUCGGCUAACUCCGUGCCAGCAGCCGCGGUAAUACGGAGGAUCCGAGCGUUAUCCGGAUUUAUUGGGUUUAAAGGGAGCGUAGGUGGAUUGUUAAGUCAGUUGUGAAAGUUUGCGGCUCAACCGUAAAAUUGCAGUUGAAACUGGCAGUCUUGAGUACAGUAGAGGUGGGCGGAAGUCGUGGUGUAGCGGUGAAAUGCUUAGAUAUCACGAAGAACUCCGAUUGCGAAGGCAGUUCACUGGACUGCAACUGACACUGAGGCUCGAAAGUGUGGGUAUCAAACAGGAUUAGAUACCCUGGUAGUC
rnacentral:rRNA from 1 species